UCAUCCUUUUCAAAUUCUACAAGAUGGGGUCAUAGACAUAACUUCUUCAUGCCAAUCUUCUAUAAGAGUUUUCUUGUGGACUAACUUUGGUCAAUGAAGAUCCCCUUUCUUGUUUGUCGUAAUUUGGAGUUUGAGAGAAGAUGUUAAUUCAUUCAUCAUACAUAUUUCAAAGUCACCUUACAUGAGCUAAGUAAAAUCUUCAUAUAACUCUUCAUUAGUAGAACCAAAAAUGAUGUCAUCAAUGCAUACUUUGAGCAAAUAAGAUAUCACAAAUUCUUCUUUUUGAUGUAUAGAUUUAUCACUAUUACUUUCUAUCAAAAAGGUUACUUAAGCUUUUAUAUCAUGCUUUUGAUGCUUGUUCCAAAUUAUAUAUUGCUUUAACAUAUUUGUAAUGAGUGUUUUCAAAUAUGGUGGUUAUUUAACAUAGAUCUCCUUUUUAAUGAAAUAAACACAUAGGAGUN
rnacentral:lncRNA from 1 species